GACGAACGCUGGCGGCGUGCUUAACACAUGCAAGUCGAACGAAAAUACCAAGCUUGCUUGGUUGAUUAGUGGCGAACGGGUGAGUAACACGUGAGUAACCUGCCCCUUACUUUCCUGGAUAACUGCUCGAAAGGGUAGCUAAUACGGGAUAUUCUGACCGGCCUGCAUGGGUUGGUUUGGAAAGGUUGUUUUUUCUGGUGAGGGAUGGGCUCGCGGCCUAUCAGCUUGUUGGUGGGGUGAUGGCCUACCAAGGCUUUGACGGGUAGCCGGCCUGAGAGGGUGGACGGUCACACUGGGACUGAGAUACGGCCCAGACUCCUACGGGAGGCAGCAGUGGGGAAUAUUGCACAAUGGGCGCAAGCCUGAUGCACCGCCGCCGCGUGAGGGAUGAAGGCCUUCGGGGUUGUAAACCUCUUUCGUCAAGGAACAACGGCCUACGUUUUGGUGAUGUUGAGGGUACCUGGAUUACAAGUGUCAGCUAACUACCUGUCAGGACGGGCACUAAUACGUACGGUGCAAGGCCAUUCCCCAAUAUUGGGUGAUAGGACCUCGCGCCCGUACGGACCGACUGUACACAAAUCUCAGGCUCACAGGGGGUUGGUGAGAGUACCCGGU
rnacentral:rRNA from 2 species